UUUCCCAAGUCUUAUGAAUCCAAACUGAUGCUGGAUGUAACAGUGUUUUGUAAGUCGUUGAGUGCUGUAUAUACAGAACUAUAAAGUCUGUGGAUUAUUAUGUUCGGGAUAGUUUGAUCUAACUGCACUUACUCCUUUUAACUUCCAGGCUGCUUGGGCAAAUAUUAAGAAAAACCUAGAGGAUAGCCACAUUUCUGAAAUAAACUAGAGAGAGUAGUAGUCAUCAAGGUAGGUCAUGAGUCAUAGUUGCAUCAUCAUGAAGACUUGGCAGACCUGUUUUCUAAGAAUGUUGAGUUGAUGACAUCAAUGGCUCCAACUAGUGGCUUCCCUGGAUCCACAUCUAUUACGAUUGACUUUGCCUCUCUUACAACCAAGGUGCACAGUCUAUAGUCUCAACCCCUGAAUUCAUACUGGCUUUGUGACUUGUGUUGACAAAUAGAAUGCAGUUGAGGUGCUCAUUCUAAGUCUAGGCCUUAGAAGGUCCUCCAUUCUCUCUUUCACUUCUUUACCGUCGCUGUGCAGGACAUGCCUACACAACCCUGAGAACAAGCCCGGGCUCGUCUGCCAGAACAGGAAAGAAAAGCCUGCAGAACCAGAGAAAGAUGGGGCACUAACCCUGGUGACCUAAUGUAUCCGUUCACUCCGAUGUUCUGGACUGGAGAGUCACAUGUCGCCACAAUCCCUACUUGUUUCAAGCUGUGUGCAAUUUGAUGUUCAUUCAAAGUGGGAGACACCAGAUUUGAAUUGAGGUCUCCUUGAUUGAAAAGCCUGUGAGUUGUCUAAUAUAGACGAUCGCGAGUGUUAGGUUCUGUUGAACGUUAAAUUGGUGACCCUCUUCUCUGAAAAGAGUGAUGAUUUUUUUCAGGAGCUUCUUAAAAGUGAAAAUCUGAGAUGAGACAGGUGACAAAGUGGUACGGGAACUAGAGUCUUGAGGAAGGAGAGUUCUCUCUGUUUGGAGACCAUCCCCAGGGCAGAUCCUCCAACCACAGGUGCACAGGUGCACAGGUGCACAUUGCACUUCCACUUCCAGGACCAUUUGAACAAUCGAUACAGAAGUCGGAGAUGAAGUUCCAAGACUUCGUGUUUGGAGAUGGAACAGUUUGGAGGCUGUAACUUUAGACUUAUUGCCAAGGACAAUUGCUGAAACUUUCUGCAUAGAACUAGACAGAGGUAAUUCCCCUUCCCUCCAG
rnacentral:lncRNA from 12 species